rnacentral:rRNA from 1 species
AGAUUGAACGCUGGCGGAAUGCUUUACACAUGCAAGUCGAGCGGCAGCGCGGGGGCAACCCUGGCGGCGAGCGGCGAACGGGUGAGUAAUCGAUCGGAACGUAUCCUGUAAUGGGGGAUAGCUCGGCGAAAGCCGGAUUAAUACCGCAUACGCUCUCAGGAGGAAAGUGGGGGAUCCGCAAGGACCUCACGUUAGAGGAGCGGCCGAUCGCUGAUUAGCUAGUUGGUGGGGUAAGGGCCCACCAAGGCGAUGAUCAGUAGCUGGUCUGAGAGGAUGAUCAGCCACACUGGGACUGAGACACGGCCCAGACUCCGUACGGGAGCAGCA